GCGACCAGAUGACUAAAGAAGUGUGAUUCUUAGUGUGAAUAAUAUGUGUUUGAAACUCUGAGGUCCAA
rnacentral:snoRNA from 1 species